UGUAAGCGUAUACCAAAGUUGUUGCAGUUAAAACGCUCGUAGUCGGAAUUUGGCAGUUCCGGAUGUGUGCACGUCGUGUGCGCACUUCGCGGGGAUUGCUUUUGUGGUCUUGCGUAGGAUGAGGCACUUUUAUUAGUGAACGUCCUCACGCAACCACUUUUUACUGUGAGAAAAUCAGAGUGCUCAAAGCAGGCAUUUGACGUGAAUGUAUUAGCAUGGAAUAAUAGAAUAGGACUUGGUUAUAUUUUGUUGGUUUGUUGGGACUGAGUAAUGAUUAAGAGGGACAGUUGGGGGCAUUUGUAUUUCGGUGCUAGAGGUGAAAUUCUUAGAUUACCGAAAGACAAACUGCUGCGAAAGCGUCUGCCAAGGAUGUUUUCAUUGA
rnacentral:rRNA from 1 species